AGGUGGAGGCAGAGGGAGGGCUCCAGCCGCCAGCCGGGAGGUGCGGAAGUUCGCCGCCGCUGUUCAUUGGCGGGCAGCGCGGCUUUCAUCAUUUCUCGGAAAAGUCAAUUUCAUUUUCACUUCCCCACGUCGCGGCUGCGGGGAGCAACAAGCGGCAGCGCUCUCCUCCGCCUUCGCUAGCCUCUAGAGAAGGUUCCAUCCCAGGAGAUUGUAACUACGUGUGUGUACAAAUCUGAAAGCCAAUUCUACCCCGUUUGUCAUAGAAGUACUGCAUUCCACAGACAAGAAAAGGAAACGUAUCCAUGUACUUGUGGAAGGAAAAUAGGUGAGAUUAAGGACUCUGUCUUGUCUCUAAAUUAGAUUUCCCUCGUGCACACAUUGUCUUUAUUCCUCCCCUAAUAACAUUGUACAAACCUUGCUUUCAUAUUUCAUACAUCAAUAACCAUGAGAGUAUACAAACUACAGCAUAGUUGUCCCUCUUUAUCAACCUGGCACCUAAGUUAAAAGCUUCAUAACCACCAGUCAGUCAUUCUUUUCUUGCAUGCUUUUUGUGUGCACGAGUACGUGUGUGUGUGUGUGUGUGUGUGUGUGUGUGUGUAUGUGUGUGUGUACAAGUCAUGUACUCACAGAGGUCAGAGUGGCCUGCUCUGUCAUUCUCUACAGUAUUGCUUUAAGACAGAGUUUCUCACUGAGCCUAGAACUAGACUGGCGGCCAGCUGCUCCAGCAGUCUUCAUGCCUCUGGCCGCCACAGCACUGAAAUUAGGUGGGCACAUGGCCAGGCCUGGCUUUUCAAGUGAGUGCUGGGAUUUGAACUCAACUCCCCAUGCUUUUGCAGCAAGCACCCUUCCCCGCCGAGUCAUGUCCACAGCCCCUUCUUUUUGUUGUUUUCUUUGAGGCUGUUCUGCUCAUUUUAGUUUUGCUCAUUUGUCCGUUUGUUUGUUCAUGUCUCUGUCUGGUUUUACACAGGAUCUUCCAGGCUAGCCAGAACUGUAGUCCAAGUAGUCCUGGAACUAAAGAUGUCCCUACCUUAGCUCCCGAGUCCUGGAAUUAUAGGCGUGUGCUCUCUGUGUGUGUUUAUUUUAAUCCACACCCAGAUGAUUGUCUUUUCUCCCUAGAACAGGGAGAGGAAGGGAAGAAAGGUGCCUUUCUGAACUUCUGGCUCAGUCCAGUAUCAAUUCAGCAUCCUUUAUGUGUAGGCCCAAGGAGAGAAAGAAACAAUGAGGUCUGGUGGGGCCAACCAGUGUCACCUCCCUAGUAUCCAUGGCAAUAGCUGCCUCAGUGGUGAAGACUCAGGGAAUCCAGACAGGACAUGACCACAAAUCCUAAUGACUUACGGCCGUGCACAGAGGCUGGUCCUGGAACCCCCAUUGCUGGAUACAGAAAGCAUCCCGACUAUGUGCUUCUGAUGACUGGCCUCCCAUCCAUAAGUCUUCACGAAAUGUUCCGUCAGAAACUGGACCUGCCUGCUCUGAGUACAGCUCCAUCUCACUGUUUGAGAAAGAGCAGCGUCCUAAUGAUGUAUGUAUUGUGUCCUAUUAUGGCUUGAUACGCAACAAAAACGUUUGCUUGGGCUGUUUUGGUCUUUGCAGUUGCCCUUGAUACCUUCCCACAACGUCCAUCCAAUCAGUUGUAUCAGUAUGCAUCCAAUCACAAUCAAUCAUGUCCUAUACACGUCGGUGCAAUGCUCCAGUGUCUCUGGAUAAAGCACAUCCCUAGAGCACUGCCUUCAAUCAUUGGGGUUCCUGAAAACCCUGCCCAGUCUUCCUUGGGUUCCUCUAUUAGACACAGUGUUAUCAAAGUUAAGUGGGAACUUACUUGUCAUUCUUGUCCUCUCUCUGCCCCUCAGAAACCCAUCUGGAGCUUUCAGAAUAGAGGCCGUAUUUGUUAUAAGACAUAUAAAGUCAUUUUAAUGUGGUGGCAGACUGCCAUCUAACCUCGUGUGCUGCCUGUGCACCCUAAAAGACCUGCAUCUCUCCCUUGCUAAGCCAACUGGCUUCCUUUUUGUAGAACAUCAGAGUAUUUCUCAUAUUCCUUGUUUAUCAUUAGUUUGGUGCCCAGCACAUACAUGGUCAAGUAUGUUAGAAUUCACAAUUCCUUUCUCUAAGUUCUGUAGGAAUAGUCUAGACUUUCUCACAUCAUUUGUUUUAUACUUCAGUAACAUUUUAAAUGGUUAUUUUUAUUUUACAUGUAUGAGUGUUUUGCCUGGGUGUGUAUAUAUGCAUUGUGUGUGUGCCUGGAGCCCACAGAAGUCAAAAGAGGACAUCAGAUCUCCUGGAACUGGAAUGUGGAUGGUUGUAGGUCUGCAUUUGGGGGCCAGAAACUGAACCUGGUUCCUCUGCAAGAGUGGUGAGCGUUCUUAACUGUUGAGCCAUCACUCUGGAUCCCUUUAUUAAUAUUUUAAUACAAGUGUAACUGGUUACCAUUAUAUGAAAGUCAGAAAAUAUGGAUUAGCUGGAAGAAAAUAGCAUUGCUGAGCAUGCUAGCCCACGACUGUAAUCCCAGCACGUGGGAGGCUGAGGAAGGUUGAUCCUGAGUUCUAGGCAAGCCUGGACUACAUAGGGAGACCUUGACUCAAAGAAACAAGGUUGAAGAUAUAGCUCAGCUGUUAGUAUUUUCUUAAUGUGAGCAAGGACAUGAAAUCCAGCCCCCACUAUGUGCAUGAAUGUACACACACACACACACACACACACACACGGGGAGGGGAACCUAAAAUUUUACUCUCAGAAUAGAUCUACUGAUAUUCGUAUGUGCUUCCAACUAGUAAUUUUUCAAAUGUGCUGUUUCCAAUCUUCAUCUGCUAACCAUUUCGUGUGCAGACUGUACUUCCCAUCUCCCUCUGGGCUUAUGUGAUAUCUUUCUGUCCUGUUCCGUUUCUUGGCUGGCUUCUCUUUUUCUGCCAGCCCCCUAAAUUAUGGUGUUUCCAAGCAUUCUAUCUUCAACCCUCUCAUUUUCUCAUUUUAUAUGCUCUUUAUCUUUGGGUGCACCCAUCCACGCCCAAAACCCCAGAUAUCGCUACAGAUGGUCCUCUACUUAGCAAUAGUUCUACUUACAAUUUUCCAAUUAUGCAGUGGUACAAAAGCAGCAAGGAUUCAGUGGAGAUUUUGCAUGUUGGUCUUUUAAUGGACCAGCACUAUGCAGUGUAAUACUUGCUGAGCAAUGGCAGACAUCCUCAAGGCAGCCACAAGAUCACCAGGUGAAACAGCCCACACCCUGCAAUGUACCAGCUGCCAAACUAUAACUUUCCCUAGGGUAGGUAUAUCAAAUGCAUUUUAGGAGACAGUAUUUCCACUUGUGGUGGGUUUGUAAAGGUCAGACCUCUUAUAAGUUGAGAAACAUCUAUAUUUGGUGAUGGUUUCAAAAUAAAAUUCUGAGCUAUAGUCACCUUACCUCCUAGAUGCCUGUGAGAUGCGUAUAUAUGUACAUACUUACAUACAUAUUCCAAGUUCAGGUCAAUGCUCACACAAGGAAAACACAGAAAGUGUCUCCCUAUGUCACUCAGGCUGCCUUGAAGUCAGGGUCCUCCUCACAAAUUCUGGGAUUACAGGCUAAAAAUAAACUUGUAACAUCUUGCCCUA